rnacentral:rRNA from 1 species
UACGAAGGUUGCAAGCGUUACUCGGAAUUACUAGGCGUAAAGGGCAGGUAGGUGGUUUGGUAAGUCUUUUGUGAAAGCUCCCGGCUUAACCGGGAGAGGCCAAUGGAUACUACCAAGCUUGAGUAUAGGAGAGGUUACUGGAAUUCCCGGUGUAGCGGUGAAAUGCGCAGAUAUCGGGAGGAACACCAAUGGCGAAAGCAGGUAACUGGACUAUUACUGACACUCAACUGCGAAAGCUAGGGGAGCAAACAGG